CCCACCCCUAUUGACACUCCAGUCAUUCCAUUACAAGAACACAAGAAUGGUCAUAUUGGGUCAAACCAAAGGUCCAUCUAGCCCAGUAUCUUGUCUUCCGAUAGCGGCCAAUGCCAGUGCUUCAGAGUGAAUGAACAGAACAGGUAAUCAUCAAGUGAUCUAUCC